AAGCAAAUGUAAGUCCCUGUGAUCUACAGUCUUCCCCACCUCCCAGGGCCUUGCCCUGGAGCACCCCUUAGUUUAUUCUGUAGAGCCGACUUAGACACGUGCAUUGUACAGCAGCCUGGACUCCUCCCCUUCAGUUCAGAAGCCUCUUGAACAUUGGACAUCUAUUUCUGUAUGGGACCAAGCUGUACAAACUGGGACCUGAGAUUACUCUCUGUAGGGGAAGCCAGCUGCCGUGUUGUGAGGACACUCAAGCAGUCCUACGGAGAGACUCACAUGGUAAAGAACUGAGGCCUUCUGUCAACAAUCACGUGAAUGGACCAUCUUGGCAGUGAAUCCUCAGCCCCAGUCAAGGCUUCAAGUGACUGCAGCCCUAGGCAACAUCUUGACUGCAUCCUCAUGAGAGGCCUUGAGCCAGAGCCACCCAGCUAAGCUGCUCCUGAAUUCUGGACCCACAGAAAGUGAGAUAAUAGA